GGUUAAGUGACUAAGCGUACACGGUGGAUGCCUAGGCAGUCAGAGGCGAUGAAGGGCGUGCUAAUCUGCGAAAAGCGUCGGUAAGGUGAUAUGAACCGUUACAACCGGCGAUACCCGAAUGGGGAAACCCAGUGUGUUUCGACACACUAUCAUGUCAUGAAUACAUAGUGGCAUGAGGCGAACCGGGGGAACUGAAACAUCUAAGUACCCCGAGGAAAAGAAAUCAACCGAGAUUCCCCCAGUAGCGGCGAGCGAACGGGGAGGAGCCCAGAACCUGAAUCGGCUUGUGUGUUAGUGGAAGCGUCUGGAAAGUCGCGCAGCAAAGGGUGAUAGCCCCGUACACUAAAAUGCACAGGUCGUGAGUUCGAUGAGUAGGGCGGGACACGUGACAUCCUGUCUGAAUAUGGGGGGACCAUCCUCCAAGGCUAAAUACUCCUGACUGACCGAUAGUGAACCAGUACCGUGAGGGAAAGGCGAAAAGAACCCCGGCGAGGGGAGUGAAAUAGAACCUGAAACCGUGUACGUACAAGCAGUGGGAGCACCUUCGUGGUGUGACUGCGUACCUUUUGUAUAAUGGGUCAGCGACUUAUAUUUUGUAGCAAGGUUAACCGUAUAGGGGAGCCGUAGGGAAACCGAGUCUUAACUGGGCGAUUAGUUGCAAGGUAUAGACCCGAAACCCGGUGAUCUAGCCAUGGGCAGGUUGAAGGUUGGGUAACACUAACUGGAGGACCGAACCGACUAAUGUUGAAAAAUUAGCGGAUGACUUGUGGCUGGGGGUGAAAGGCCAAUCAAACCGGGAGAUAGCUGGUUCUCCCCGAAAGCUAUUUAGGUAGCGCCUCGUGAACUCAUCUUCGGGGGUAGAGCACUGUUUCGGCUAGGGGGCCAUCCCGGCUUACCAAACCGAUGCAAACUCCGAAUACCGAAGAAUGUUAUCACGGGAGACACACGGCGGGUGCUAACGUCCGUCGUGAAGAGGGAAACAACCCAGACCGCCAGCUAAGGUCCCAAAGUCAUGGUUAAGUGGGAAACGAUGUGGGAAGGCAUAGACAGCCAGGAUGUUGGCUUAGAAGCAGCCAUCAUUUAAAGAAAGCGUAAUAGCUCACUGGUCGAGUCGGCCUGCGCGGAAGAUGUAACGGGGCUAAACCAUGCACCGAAGCUGCGGCAGCGACGCUUAGGCGUUGUUGGGUAGGGGAGCGUUCUGUAAGCCGUUGAAGGUGGCCUGUGAGGGUUGCUGGAGGUAUCAGAAGUGCGAAUGCUGACAUAAGUAACGAUAAAGCGGGUGAAAAGCCCGCUCGCCGGAAGACCAAGGGUUCCUGUCCAACGUUAAUCGGGGCAGGGUGAGUCGACCCCUAAGGCGAGGCUGAAAAGCGUAGUCGAUGGGAAACAGGUUAAUAUUCCUGUACUUGGUGUUACUGCGAAGGGGGGACGGAGAAGGCUAGGCUGGCCGGGCGACGGUUGUCCCGGUUUAAGCGUGUAGGGGGUGUGACCUGGUAAAUCCGGUUGCAUACUAACCCUGAGGCGUGAUGACGAUGCACUACGGUGCAGAAGUAGUUGAUGCCCUGCUUCCAGGAAAAUCCUCUAAGCUCCAGGUAACAUUAAAUCGUACCCCAAACCGACACAGGUGGUCAGGUAGAGAAUACCAAGGCGCUUGAGAGAACUCGGGUGAAGGAACUAGGCAAAAUGGUGCCGUAACUUCGGGAGAAGGCACGCUGGCAUGUAGGUGAAGUCCCUCGCGGAUGGAGCUGAAGCCAGUCGAAGAUACCAGCUGGCUGCAACUGUUUAAUAAAAACACAGCACUGUGCAAACACGAAAGUGGACGUAUACGGUGUGACGCCUGCCCGGUGCUGGAAGGUUAAUUGAUGGGGUCAGCCGCAAGGCGAAGCUCUUGAUCGAAGCCCCAGUAAACGGCGGCCGUAACUAUAACGGUCCUAAGGUAGCGAAAUUCCUUGUCGGGUAAGUUCCGACCUGCACGAAUGGCGUAAUGAUGGCCAGGCUGUCUCCACCCGAGACUCAGUGAAAUUGAACUCGCUGUGAAGAUGCAGUGUACCCGCGGCAAGACGGAAAGACCCCGUGAACCUUUACUAUAGCUUGACACUGAACAUUGAGCCUUGAUGUGUAGGAUAGGUGGGAGGCUUUGAAGCGUGGACGCCAGUCUGCGUGGAGCCAUCCUUGAAAUACCACCCUUUAAUGUUUGAUGUUCUAACUC
rnacentral:rRNA from 1 species